CUGUCCCUGGCAUCAGCUGGCAUUUUGUUCCCCCAGCCCCCAGGGUCAGCACUGGCUGUGCCCAUGCCAAGCUCCUUCCCGAGCCUCGGCACCUCGCUCCUGGAGGCUGCUAUCAUGUGCAAAAAGGAAGGAGCAGGCAAAACAAGCACAGCCAGGAAUCACAUAAUAUUGCUGCAGUCCUGCCAGGAAACAGACUGUAGAAGUUCCUGUGUUUAAAAGCCAGGAGAUGAGUUUUAUUGUUAGUAGUUGUUAUAGUAACCUGAGGUGCUGGAGAGUAAUACAUGCUCGGCGCGUUGCAACAGACUCUGACAAGUUCAAGGCUGUUGCCUUGCUGCUAAAUCUUGUUGCCAAGGCAAUGCAACACAAGGAAAGAGCCUAGAGAAAUGAAUCCUGCUGACAGCUCAUGCCAGCAGGCCUGGGCUGAUUAAAAGGGAACUUUUAAAAGUGAUGUUAACUUAAAAAGCACAGCAGCAGAAAGGAAAGGGGAGCACGGAUAUGGAGAGAGGAUCCAGCGGAGGAGCAAUGGGUUAAUGUCAAGCAACAGGUAAAGGAAAGCAUUUGAUUAAAAAACAAUAUGGCUGAACAGGAUGUCUUAGCUUGUGAUGCAGAAACGUGCCAUAUUUUGGAGGGAGUAAAUAAGAAAUCACAAAAUCAUCACUUUUUAAAUUUGUUUAGCCUGGGCAGUACUGCUGUAAUUUGCAUAGGAACUGUGGCUUUUUCCCAACACUGUUGACAGCAAAAAUAAUUUUCUCAGUAAAUUUGUUUAGUGGCACAGAUAUUAGCUCAGUCAACUUUCAAUUUUGUGUUCAUUUCCAGCCUUUUAAAAAUGCUUCCUGGCGAAAGGUUAGCUGGAAAACAGAUGAAUCUGCAAGCUGAUUAUUCUCUCCUGUCUAUGAUUCACUGUUAAUGCUGACAGUAUACUCUGAAUUGAAAGAAGAAUAUUACCCCAAGGACCACAGAGUCAAAAUAUAUGAUCAGCUCUGAAGAAGUCAGGUGUUACCUGUCCCUCUCCACACCAGGAUGUCUGCACAGCAGGAGUACGCAGGCAGAGGUCUCCAUUUGCUGCAUCACCUGCAGGAGCUGCAGCACAGGGAUCUGCCUGACUAGAAUGGCCCAGGCCACUGACAAUCCAGGAGCACCUGGCAGUUGUUUUGAGGGAGGGAACAAAGCUCCAGGACUAAUGGGAGAAGUCUUUUCCAUGCAGGAAUGUUUCUCCUUGAUCAUGCUUGUAAUCCAUUCAUAGCCUGAAUCAUCAGUACUUGUCAGCUUCAUAAUCCUUCCAAGACUAAAGUAAAACUCAUCUACAUACCCAGGAGAAGAAAACUCACCCUACAAUAAACCUGAAAGGCAUCUGCUGGGAUAAGCAACUGCUGCCUCUGAAAUUCAAAUAUCAGGGUGUGUGAUCAAUGCCACGCAGCACCUCAGCACUCAAAUCAACCUCCUGAGACAUCAAGUCUGUCCCCUGCUGCUGCAGACAAUGCACUGUAUAAUGACUUUAAUAAACUACAACUCAAAAGCAGUGAGAUUUUUCCAUUCCAAAUACCCCCUUGGGUAAGGCAGUAUUUGAUUGCUCUAAUGGUUGACAACUCUCUUCUGGUUUCCAGCUGAAAUUUGUGUGUGGCCAGUUCCAAUUCAUGUGCCAGGACCCUCUCUAGCUAAGCAGUUGUCUGGGCCAGAGCUCAGAGUUCAAGGCAAAACUCCACCAAUUUCAUUCCAGUGUCACCCUCACUUUCAAAACCACACCCAAAGUUUGCAAUUUCUUGGCCUUUUCAAAUUCAAAGUUUAUUAAAACAUAAUACAGCUGGAAUUUUUUUCCCAAAAGGAAAUAAAAACAAGGGGAUGAAUAUGGAUGGAACAGCCCUGCUAAUUCCGUGAGUGUUAAACUGAAUUAAUAGGCAAAUUGGAGAAAGCCAAUUGUUUCUACCUUCAUAGCACACGCCACAUGUAGUUACAUAUUCUUCCUGUGCCCGAGGUAAGUUUAGACUUCCAACAGCCACCAGACAGUUAAAAGUCCUGUAUUAAAUAGCAGAUGCUGUGCCACCUCAUCCCCUUAUUAGUGGCAGGGAACCUGCAGGUUCCUGUGGUGCUGGUGUGGUCAGAUGGAGCCAUCUCAGUGCUGUGUACACAUUUGCUAAGUGUUCUGCAUCCUGUCCCUAUUCAAAUCAAGUACCCUGUGACUGGACAGCUCAGUGCCUCAGGAACUUUUUCCUCCACGGAUCCCUCCAGCUCCCGAGGGCCCUUGCUCACUUUUCUGUGAUGGUCUUGUAGCUCCUGCACUGAUGUGGUGGCAGCAGCCAGCGGGCUGGAGCCUCUCUGGUGACCCCAUCAGGGUCUUCAUCCCACCCUGCUCCAGCCUUGCUGCUUCCCCAUGAUCACAGUCCUUGAGGGGCUCUUUAAAAGCGAGCACUACCCAGAAUUAAAAGGUUUUUGUCCCCGAACCUACAUGGAGUUAGUUAAUGUGUGCAAUUUUACACCUGUAAGCAGCAAUGCUGAUUUCAAAGGGACCUUCUAAGACUUUCAAGCAUAUUUUACAAAGUUUCUACUUGAUCCUGCUUGUAAUUCACUCCUAGCCUGGAUCAUGAGGACUUGUUGGACUUGAGGACUUCUGCAUCUUAGAAAUUAUUAAAAACGCAAUUAAAAUACAGAGGUUUGGUGGUUUGAUUUUGUUGUUUUUGGU
ensembl:lncRNA